GGACCUUUGAUGCAGGCUUAACAUGAAGCAAAGCAAGCAAAAACCAUAAACAUUUAGCAGGAAAUGUUACCAAUUGUUGGAAGGGAAAGAUAAACUCUUUAGAGGCUCAUGCACUUGGGGACGGUCACGACCUUGAGAAUAGAGCUCUAUCAAUGAGCAAUUACGCGGCUUCAUCACUGAAAGGAAUUUCUCAACUAGAAAUUCUUAGAAGACUUUCUCAGAAAUAUGCUUGGUACAAGUUGUGAUGGAUGAGAGAGAAAGAAAGGAGGUAAUAGUGAAAGUUUAAUAAAUAAUCAAAACAAAAAUUUCAUCUGGAUCUUUCUUUUAAAGAACACAUUUUUGCCUUUCACCUACCAAGAAAG
rnacentral:lncRNA from 1 species